UGAUAUGGUUUGGCUGUGCCUCCACCCAAAUCUCAACUUGAAUUUUAUGUCCCAGAAUUCCCAUGCGUUGAGGGGGACCCAGGAAGAAGUAAUUGAUCCA